AGCGCGCCCUUCGGGGUGAGCGGCGGACGGGUUAGUAACGCGUGGGAAUAUACCCUUUGGUAAGGAAUAGCCUCUGGAAACGGAGAGUAAUACCUUAUGUGCCCUUCGGGGGAAAGAUUUAUCGCCAAAGGAUUAGCCCGCGUUAGAUUAGAUAGUUGGUGGGGUAAUGGCCUACCAAGUCUACGAUCUAUAGCUGGUUUUAGAGGAUGAUCAGCAACACUGGGACUGAGACACGGCCCAGACUCCUACGGGAGGCAGCAGUGGGGAAUCUUGGACAAUGGGGGCAACCCUGAUCCAGCCAUGCCGCGUGAGCGAUGAAGGCCUUAGGGUCGUAAAACUCUUUCGCCAGAGAUGAUAAUGACAGUAUCUGGUAAAGAAACCCCGGCUAACUCCGUGCCAGCAGCCGCGGUAAUACGGAGGGGGUUAGCGUUGUUCGGAAUUACUGGGCGUAAAGCGCACGUAGGCGGAUUGGAAAGUUAGAGGUGAAAUCCCGGGGCUCAACCCCGGAACUGCCUUUAAAACUCCCAGUCUAGAGUUCGAGAGAGGUGAGUGGAAUUCCGAGUGUAGAGGUGAAAUUCGUAGAUAUUCGGAGGAACACCAGUGGCGAAGGCGGCUCACUGGCUCGAUACUGACGCUGAGGUGCGAAAGUGUGGGGAGCAAACAGGAUUAGAUACCCUGGUAGUCCACACCGUAAACGAUGAAUGCCAGUCGUCGGGUAGCAUGCUAUUCGGUGACACACCUAACGGAUUAAGCAUUCCGCCUGGGG
rnacentral:rRNA from 1 species